GAUGGACGCUGGCGGCGUGCUUAACACAUGCAAGUCGAACGGAAAGGCCCAAGCUUGCUUGGGUACUCGAGUGGCAAACGGGUGAGUAACACGUGGGUGAUCUGCCCUGCACUUCGGGAUAAGCCUGGGAAACUGGGUCUAAUACCGGAUAGGACCACUUCUUGGAUGUUGUGGUGGAAAGUUUUUUCGGUGUGGGAUGAGCUCGCGGCCUAUCAGCUUGUUGGUGGGGUAAUGGCCUACCAAGGCGUCGACGGGUAGCCGGCCUGAGAGGGUGUACGGCCACAUUGGGACUGAGAUACGGCCCAGACUCCUACGGGAGGCAGCAGUGGGGAAUAUUGCACAAUGGGCGCAAGCCUGAUGCAGCGACGCCGCGUGGGGGAUGACGGCCUUCGGGUUGUAAACUCCUUUCGCUAGGGACGAAGCGUUUUGUGACGGUACCUGGAGAAGAAGCACCGGCUAACUACGUG
rnacentral:rRNA from 1 species